UACGUAGGGUCCGAGCGUUGUCCGGAAUUAUUGGGCGUAAAGGGCUCGUAGGCGGUUCGUCACGUCGGGAGUGAAAACUCGGGGCUUAACCCCGAGCCUGCUUCCGAUACGGGCGGACUAGAGGUAGGCAGGGGGAGAACGGAAUUCCUGGUGUAGCGGUGAAAUGCGCAGAUAUCAGGAGGAACACCGGUGGCGAAGGCGGUUCUCUGGGCCUUACCUGACGCUGAGGAGCGAAAGCGUGGGAGCAAACAGG
rnacentral:rRNA from 1 species